GGAUCGAUGAUGAUUCCAAAAAAAAAACACCAAACCAACAUUCCUUGGAAAAUCUGAACAAAAUGAGUGAGAACUACAACAACAUCGUUCUCAUUCGGUUACUGAGGUCC